rnacentral:rRNA from 1 species
GAACCUUCGGGGAACGAUAACGGCGUCGAGCGGCGGACGGGUGAGUAAUGCCUAGGAAAUUGCCCUGAUGUGGGGGAUAACCAUUGGAAACGAUGGCUAAUACCGCAUGAUGCCUACGGGCCAAAGAGGGGGACCUUCGGGCCUCUCGCGUCAGGAUAUGCCUAGGUGGGAUUAGCUAGUUGGUGAGGUAAGGGCUCACCAAGGCGACGAUCCCUAGCUGGUCUGAGAGGAUGAUCAGCCACACUGGAACUGAGACACGGUCCAGACUCCUACGGGAGGCAGCAGUGGGGAAUAUUGCACAAUGGGCGCAAGCCUGAUGCAGCCAUGCCGCGUGUGUGAAGAAGGCCUUCGGGUUGUAAAGCACUUUCAGUCGUGAGGAAGGUGGUGUAGUUAAUAGCUGCAUCAUUUGACGUUAGCGACAGAAGAAGCACCGGCUAACUCCGUGCCAGCAGCCGCGGUAAUACGGAGGGUGCGAGCGUUAAUCGGAAUUACUGGGCGUAAAGCGCAUGCAGGUGGUUUGUUAAGUCAGAUGUGAAAGCCCGGGGCUCAACCUCGGAAUAGCAUUUGAAACUGGCAGACUAGAGUACUGUAGAGGGGGGUAGAAUUUCAGGUGUAGCGGUGAAAUGCGUAGAGAUCUGAAGGAAUACCGGUGGCGAAGGCGGCCCCCUGGACAGAUACUGACACUCAGAUGCGAAAGCGUGGGGAGCAAACAGGAUUAGAUACCCUGGUAGUCCACGCCGUAAACGAUGUCUACUUGGAGGUUGUGGCCUUGAGCCGUGGCUUUCGGAGCUAACGCGUUAAGUAGACCGCCUGGGGAGUACGGUCGCAAGAUUAAAACUCAAAUGAAUUGACGGGGGCCCGCACAAGCGGUGGAGCAUGUGGUUUAAUUCGAUGCAACGCGAAGAACCUUACCUACUCUUGACAUCCAGAGAACUUUCCAGAGAUGGAUUGGUGCCUUCGGGAACUCUGAGACAGGUGCUGCAUGGCUGUCGUCAGCUCGUGUUGUGAAAUGUUGGGUUAAGUCCCGCAACGAGCGCAACCCUUAUCCUUGUUUGCCAGCGAGUAAUGUCGGGAACUCCAGGGAGACUGCCGGUGAUAAACCGGAGGAAGGUGGGGACGACGUCAAGUCAUCAUGGCCCUUACGAGUAGGGCUACACACGUGCUACAAUGGCGCAUACAGAGGGCGGCCAACUUGCGAAAGUGAGCGAAUCCCAAAAAGUGCGUCGUAGUCCGGAUUGGAGUCUGCAACUCGACUCCAUGAAGUCGGAAUCGCUAGUAAUCGUGGAUCAGAAUGCCACGGUGAAUACGUUCCCGGGCCUUGUACACACCGCCCGUCACACCAUGGGAGUGGGCUGCAAAAGAAGU